rnacentral:rRNA from 1 species
UACGUAGGGGGGCUAGCGUUGUCCGGAAUCAUUGGGCGUAAAGAGCGUGUAGGCGGUCCGGUAAGUCCGCUGUGAAAGUCGGGGGCUCAACCCUCGAAUGCCGGUGGAUACUGCCGGGCUGGAGUCCGGAAGAGGCGAGUGGAAUUCCUGGUGUAGCGGUGAAAUGCGUAGAGAUCGGGAGGAACAUCAGUGGCGAAGGCGGGCCAUCUGGGACAACACUGACGCUGAGGCACGAAAGCGUGGGGAGCAAACAGG